rnacentral:rRNA from 1 species
GACGAACGCUGGCGGCGUGCCUAAUACAUGCAAGUCGAACGCAGUGGGGACGGGUGAGUAACACGUGGGUAACCUCCCAUCAGAGGGGAUAACACUUGGAAACAGGUGCUAAACCGAUACUGAUGGAUGGACACGCGGUGCAUUAGAUAGUUGGUGAGGUAACGGCUUGCGAGGGCCACGAUGCAUAGCCGGCCUGCGGGAGUGAUCGGCCACACUGGGACUGAGACGCGGCCCAGUCUCCUACGAGAGGCAGCAGUAGGAGAUCUUCGGCAAUGGACGAAAGUCUGACCGGGCAACGCCGCGUGAGUGAAGACGGUUUUCGGAUCGUAAAACUCUGUUGUUAGAGAAGCGGUAUCUAACCAGAAAGCCACGGCUGACUACGUGCCAGCAGCCGCGAUAAUUC